GGCCCAUCGAGAACGCCGCCGUCUCCUCCGUUUCUUCCUCUCCUCUCUCCACUCCUCUCUCUUGUUGAUCUUUCGCAAGAGCUCGCACUCGGAGGAGAGAGAGAGAGAGAGAGAGAUGAGGAAGCUGGUCUCGUCGUCCGUGUCGGCGCUGUCGUCGCCUGAGAUGGCGGCGGCGGCGGGAGGGCUUGCGCUUGCGCUGCGGGGCUGGUGGCAGGAGGUGAACGACUCGUCGGCGUGGCAGGACGGUGCCUUCUUCUCCCUGGCCGCCGCCUACGCGUUCGUAUCCGCCGUCGCCCUGAUUCAAUUAAUCAGAAUUCAUUUGCGGGUGCCAGAAUUUGGUUGGACCACACAAAAGGUUUUCCAUCUCAUGAAUUUCAUUGUGAAUGGAGUUCGUGCCAUUGUAUUCGGACUUCAUGAGCAUGUGUUCCUUCUUCAAACAAAAGUGUAUACGUUAGUGCUGUUAUAUCUUCCUGGUCUCUUAUUUUUCUCAACCUACACAUUACUUGUGCUGUUCUGGGCAGAGAUAUACCAUCAGGCUAAGAAUCUUCCCACAGACAAGCUAAGGACUAUAUACAUUGCAUUUAAUAGUGUCAUAUAUGUAAUUCAGGUUUGUAUUUGGGUAUACCUUGGAAUAAAUGGUAAUCCUCUCAUCGAGAUUGUGAGCAAAGUAUUCGUAUCAGCUGUCUCCUUUAUAGCUCUUCUGGGAUUCUUAAUUUAUGGUGGAAGGCUAUUUGUCAUGCUGAGACGCUUCCCGUUUGAAUCAAAGGGGCGGAGAAAGAAGCUUUAUGAGGUUGGGACUGUGACAGGAAUUUGCUUUACCUGUUUCUUGAUCAGAUGCAUUGUGAUGAUACAACUGUUUACAACAGAACUUUACAUUCUCGUCUCGGUACCAAAAGUCCAAGAUGAUAAAGAUGAUGAACUCCAUUGUUUGGUCGUUGAUGUUGGUGGCUUUUUCAUCAUUUGAUCCUGAUCUAUCUCUUGAGGUUUUGGAUCAUCCAAUUUUAGAUUUCUUUUACUAUAUGUUGACAGAGGUACUGCCUUCUGCCCUUGUACUAUUCAUCCUGCGGAAACUUCCUCCCAAGCAAGUAUCGGCACAAUUUCCAAGACUUCUGUUGGUAUCUUAGGCCAAGAAUUACUUAAACACUUCAAUUUCCAAGACUUCUGUUGGUAGAGGCUGAAUUGUGAUAUUUGAGCAUGGCUUUGAGAAGUAUUUUGUCAUCUUGAUGUGUAAUCCUUUUCCCUUGGCCUAUUUUCAUGUGGGCUUCAUAUAACUCAAGCUCCAGUAUAAGUAAGCUAUCUAUACUUUUUAUUGUCUAACGAAUCUAACAGUUGGAGAAUUGCACUUGUCGCAUUAAUUGAUUUGGAUGAUUUCAGUAAA